AGUGAACGCUGGCGGUAGGCCUAACACAUGCAAGUCGAACGGCAGCACAGUAAGAGCUUGCUCUUACGGGUGGCGAGUGGCGGACGGGUGAGGAAUACAUCGGAAUCUACUUUUUCGUGGGGGAUAACGUAGGGAAACUUACGCUAAUACCGCAUACGACCUACGGGUGAAAGCAGGGGAUCUUCGGACCUUGCGCGAUUGAAUGAGCCGAUGUCGGAUUAGCUAGUUGGCGGGGUAAAGGCCCACCAAGGCGACGAUCCGUAGCUGGUCUGAGAGGAUGAUCAGCCACACUGGAACUGAGACACGGCCCAGACUCUUACGGGAGGCGGCGGUGGGAAAUAUGGGACAAUGGGCGCAAGCCGGAACCACCCAUACCGCGGGGGUAAAGAGGGCUUUCGGUUUGAAAAGCCUUUUUGUGGGAAAAAAAAAGCAGAGGGUUAAUACCCCGUUUUUCUGAGGGUACCAAAAAAAAAGGCACGGGCUACGUUGGUG
rnacentral:rRNA from 1 species